UCUUUGAUAUUAAGGAGUUGUUCAUUUUUAUUAGGUAUGACAAGGGUAUUAUGGUUAUGUUAUAAAAAGUGAUAAUUUAGAAAUACACAUAAAUAUUUACAGAUCAAAUCUUUUUAGGCAUUUGCCUAAAAAUAAUAUGAAAGGGAGAGUGUUAUAAACAGGGCGCUUAGAAAAAGUAAGGCCUUUCAGGAGUUGAGUAAGGUUAAAGCUGGGUGAUGGUUCCAUCGGGGUUCCUUCCACUCCCCUGUCUACUUUUGCAUAUAUUUCAAAUUGUCUAUAAUAAGUUUUAGAAAAUAACUUUUAACUUAUAGGACAUUAUAGUUGAUUAUAGCUAUUCACAUCAACUUUUGUUUCAAUUCCAUAAAUUAUUAUUUACAUUGAAUUUAAGGAAGGCAGUGGUAUAAGUAUUCAUGUCCCAGUCCUCAUGUUUUUAUGGCUUAAAGGGGAAAACAAUUAGCAAUCCAAAAAACCCCGCAAAACUAUGAGAUAGAUGGAGCAGGGCCUUGUAAGUCAUGUUGAGGAGUUUGCGUUUUAUCCUGAACAUAAUAAAAAUGUUUUAACCAGAGGAAAAUAUCGUUUCUCCAUAUUAUUCACUUUAACUUGAUGAAUUGAUUAAAAAAGGGCCAAAUAGUGGAGGAGUGUGAUCAGUUAUAGUUGUCUAGGCUUCUAUUGGUAGAAGUCUGUAACACAAAGGGUGAGAAGGGAGAAUCAGCAAAAAAAUUGAAAAGAAAUGGUGGGUGAAUAAGUGGUGGCAUGAAGCUGGGAGAUGGGGUCUCAAGAGUCAAACACCAACCAGGGGUUAAGUGGAAUGAUUAUUUAUUGCCUAAACCACGUAAGCCAUAAUGGUAUUUGAUCUUGUCAUUCCUCUUCUCAGAAACACACAAUGGCCUUCCGUUACCCCUAAGAAUAACGUCCACUCUCUUUGCUGUGGCAUUCAGGGCUCUGGUCUCAUCUCUCUGUAUAUCUUUUUACGCAUUAUAUGCUCAGGACACACUGCUUUGAUUUGAUGGGGUAAGCUCAGAAAUUUUAUGACUUCUUCCUUUGGCAAACGCUGCUCAGACUGAGUAUAAUUCUCCUUCUCUAUCAAAAUUGGUCUCAUCCUUCUAAGUCUUAGUCUAAACACCAACUUCACCAUGAUCCUCCCUAGUCUGUAUCCAUUUCUCCUCCCUACAUGCCCUAAGAGCAUUAACUGAACCUCAGUUUUGCACUUGUUACUUCCAUGUGGCUUUAUGCAUAUUACAGUCAUUUUCAUAUCUUCUCCCCAACUAAGUUAGAAACCUCUUGAGACCAAACAAUGUGUUAAUUCAACUUUAUCUUCCCUGAUUACCUUACCUAUUUUAGUGGCUAAUAAAUAUUUAUUGAAUUAAAAUGAUUUCUUAUCCCCUUGUGUACAUAUUACAACAAAAUAUAGAUUAAUGACAAAGUUUCCAUAGAAAAAUUUGAUUUUAGCUUAAUACGUGCUCAACCAUGUUGUAAACGUGUGAAAACCUUAAGAUAUCAAAUGACAGGGCAACUUUAUGAGAGUGCAUAAAAUUCUUUAUUUAGAACAAUAAAGUAUAUGUAUAUAUAAUGUAAUUUCAAAUUCAAACCUGUAUAAAAAAGGGUCAGGACAUAUACCUAUUUUAAAAAGUACACAUACAGUAUAUACACAUAACACAUCACAUUUUACAACCUUUUUUAUUUAAUUAAACUUCAGUCAUAAUAAAACUAUUUAGAAUAGUGUUGACAUACAUUUACAUUACAAUACGCAAACUCCAAUCUAUGACUGACUAGCAAUAUACCUGUGCAUCCAUCUAAAUAUCUGAAUACUUUUCAAGUCCAUUGACUUAAAAAACGUGGCAAGUGGGACACUAUAAUCACACAUUAAUCCUUAGACUAUAGAAUAGGAUAUUUUGAUUGGAAAAUUUUAUUUAGUGAGUCUUAUAGCUCAGAAAUCAAGUAACUGAAAAUACUAUGGUUUUUAGUUCAAACUAUUAUUAUCUUAAUUUUAUUUUUAAAAACAACAUCAUAAGGAUGUAGUUGGAGAUGGCAGUUAUAAAUUUACAAUGCUUAGCAAACAUUUUAGGAUCAUAAAUAUUCAUUUUAAUAUGGAUUAUUUCUAAGACAACACCUUUUUAGGAAAUCAAAGUACCAUUAUUUUAUCUUUUCAAACAAAGGCAUUUCCAGACUUGUUAAUGGAAAGCAGCAACACCAUCAAUUGUAUGAUCAAAUACCAAAAAUGAACUAGUCAGAAUUUCCACCUGAAUGUUUAUCUUUUAAUGCCAUUUCAAAAUAAUAUUGUUUCAAAGACAAGCUGGCUUACUUUAAAAUUCUUAUCCCCCUUUUCAAUUUUAAAAUGUAAUUUAUGGAUUACCCCUUUCCAAAUGGAUUCUAAAUGAUCUUUUGGCAUUCAAAAAUGUUAUGAGCAUCUUACAUUUUCUGCUCUUAGCUUUUAAUAAAAUGAGAGCAUUUAAAUCCUUGAUGUGGGGCAUUUCCAAAUGUUACACGCAUUUUAUAGAAUCUCUUCCUGACUAAAAUCACGAAAAUGUACUACUGGUUUUCACUCUUCAGAGGUGAUCCAAAAACAUUUAUUUAAGCAAAGAAAAAAGCCAUCUCUUGUAUACAUGGUUAUCCAAUUCACCCUACAUGAGACUGAAUUUCACUUUUACUAAUGGACCCUAUUUACAUUACAAACAAGAACUAACGGUAAUGACUUUUUAUGUUCAAAUUGCUUAUUCACAGAGAUCAGAGUUGGAUAUUUUAUAUGGAAUAGUUUCAGCUCUGUUUUAUCUUUUUUGUCUGUCAUAUAUCAAUAGGUUUCACACCUAAGAUGUGACCUCCAAGUUCAGUAUAUAAAUAAAAGAAUUGAGAUCCAAAGAGGAGAGGUGAUUUACCAAUAUGAGUUAACGGCAGAAUAGAGCCUCCUGACGAUUUUUCCCAACAUCUACCCCACUAAGCCAAACUGUCUUUUUAAAAAAAUACAUUUUUUAGUUAAAGAAGCAUAGAUAUGGAAUGGCUAAAAGCUCUAUAUUGGAAUUACAUGUUGAAACAAAACCUAGCUGCAGAAAAACAUUAAGAAAUACCCAUGAAUUCUGAAUAGAUGUUUUUGUUAAUUUAACUUCAAUUGAAUUAGAGUACCAAAAAAUGCCACAACGUUUCUCCAAAGUACUUUAAUGCUCAAUGAAAUGUGUUUCUGAUUAAAAGCAAACAACAUUUCAUUAUGGACACAUACUUUUUCAUAUGUUUUCAUUUUUCACAUACUUAACCCUUUUUUAAGAGGAUAGGUUCUAUUACUGUAUUAAAAAACAAUCUGACUCAUUAAAAAGUGGCACUGUGGUAAGCACAUUAGAUUGUAAUACAGAAUCCAGGAGCACUUCCAUAUCACUGAACAGGCACCAUUUAUCACAGAGCCAGUUUCUUUAUAGACUUGGGUUCUACCAAAGAGGUGCAAAACUUUCAGUAUAAUUUAGAAUCUGCAGACUUCUGACAUCAUUUUAAAAGGCAAUUUUGAAACAUUACAAAAGAGAAUGAUCAGAUACAUGGCACCAAUUUAAAAAGUGAUUUCACGGUUUACAAUGUCAGUUGUGAGUUUUCCAUGAUUUAUGAAGACGGAUAUUCAGAAUACAUAUCAGAUAACAUAAAGCCUAGAUAUAGAUAUAUUUCUUUUUAUCUCAAAGCAGAUAUGACACAGUUAAUGCCCAAGCAGCUAGCAUCCAAAAUAAUGUCCAGCAUUUUUCUAUUGUUCACGCAUUUUAUGGAACUUUAGUGUUUUAAAAAUUGGUAAUCCAUGUAACUCUCAAUGAACCAAUGUUUCAUUAGGCAGAAAACAUCUCCCCUCACCUACUAUGCCAAAUUUCAAAACUUGCUGAAUAUGUCUAUUUAACUGUAUUGAUUAGGACCACGUCCUUGAGUGUUAAAACCCAGCUCCUAGCCUUGAGAACAAAAGCACAUUUACUGUACUCUCAAGCUCAUUAAACAGCAUAUUCACAUGCCUAAGAAAAUUGAAACCACCGGUAAAAGAAACCAAACUAUUAGAUUGAGAAGUACCAAUCUUCUCAUCUACACAUGACCUACACACAAAACUCAUAUUAAUCUAUGUCUAUUUUCCUCAAAACGUCAAUAUCACACACUGAGACAGGUCCUUUCAGCAAUUAAACUGAUUUCUGAUUUUCAAUUAAUCAAUUGUACCAUGGGAUAUCUGAGGGCCUGAAUAAGUUAAUGCAGCUUCCCAAAGCAACUGGCUUGGAUCUUAGUGAAAUGACUAGUGUUUGAAGAACCACAGCACUUUAGAGAAGGAAGGAAUCGUAGAAAUCAUCUGGGCUCUUUGGUACAAAAAAGAGCAAAGGCCACUUACUGAAAUUAUAUCUGGAUUAGCUCUGAACAUAAGCUAAAAUCCAAAGAUACUAGAAAUUCUUGGACUCUUGAAAUCAAAGGAAAGCUAGCAGUUAGUUUGUUAUGUUCUUUCAUAUCACUACAUUGAAAAUGGUCACCUGAUGAUGGCAGAACAUGGCAAUAAUGUUAUUACAAGGACUAAGUUAGAAUGGAAAGCUUUGGACUCCUUUAUGUGUAUGUUCGUGAUAUGCUAAAAGAACUUUCAUCAGAAUAAACCAUAAGAAAUCAUUCUUUGACUUUAGUCAGAUGUUCCUUUGACUGCAAAAAAAAAUUGGCAAGGGGAAUUCACAUGAUGUCUUAUAAAUUCUAGUUUAAAAGCGCAAGUCCAUCUUGGAAAUUCUUGCCAAAUUCACUCUUAAUAUGACAAAUGCCAUCACAAAUUUUAAAUAGCAAACUGACAUGCAUAACUACAUAAAGCUCUCAUUUUUAAUUCAUAAACCUUAAUGAAUAUAGAGCGCCUGAUUUUAAAUAAAUGGAUCCUUUAAACAGAUAAUAGUGAUUAUACUAUAAAUAACUAGUUUCCUGAUUCUUUGCAUUCUUGUAAAAGCCAAGUAACCUAGUUUUCAACACCCAUAUUAGCAUGUGGGUGUGGUUUUCUACCUUUAGGUACUAAAUAUCAUAAUUUAUUUUUACUCUCUCCCAUGGCAGAAAUUGAAAAUGGGACCUUCAUACAUUCAGCAAUUUCUCCUAAGUCCCUUUACAUAACUCUGUAAUAGCUUUAGAAUAUAAACAUUUCGUAUAUAUAUUUUGCAAGCACAGUUUAUACACUUUAUUGUGGUCAAGGGAAAAGGUCAUCCUCACCAUGGGUGCCAGAUGUCCUCCUCGGUGACUGUCCCACUGUUCAAUGUUCAUAGCUGCUUUGUGCGAUGACUCUUUUGGAGUCUCUCCUCUGCAAAGGUGUCACUGUUCUAAUUCAGUACUGGCUCCCCUGCAUGGAUAGAUCCAGCCAACCAUGCCCAUUUGUCUAGUGGGAUAUAGGUGGGUGUGGCUUAUGUCAGGAAGAGACCAAGAUCAGACCCAUAUCAUUAAUCUGCGGCUACAAGGCUGACACGUUGCCUGCUCCAAUCAGUUUGUUGACACUGUUUUCUACUGUACAGUGGCUGAUGCUAUAAGUUUUUGUUUUUAAAAUUUUUUCCAGAUCCCUUUGAGAAAAAUUAUUACCCCGACUAUCCAGGCUGAAAUCUACUUGCAGAGACCAAGAUAACUACGGUUGUAAUUGAAAAUAAAGCUAUGUGGCUUUUCAGUAAUUAGACAUUUCUGGAGGCAUGCAAGAUGGUGCAUGCAGUCUGGAACACAUGCUUUCUUUUCCAACAUCAGUUAUAAGUUCUAAAUGAGACCACAAGUCCCCCAGGUCUUAAAAUAGAGUCCUGCUCCAUGCAACUUCUUCUUUACAGAUGAUUAAUUCAGUGCCAGUUUCACAGUAAAAUACUUUGUUCCAAUUUCUGAAUCAUCCAUACAGAGUUGUGGGUAGUAAGAACAGAUAAAGAUGCAGUCUGUCACUCCAGACAGAAUAUGAAUUUGUUUAAAGCUGCUUCAUUUAUGAAGCAAACAUGAACUGUUACCCGCCUAGAAAAGAAAAAAUAAAAAGAGAUUAUGGCGUAUCUGCUUUCUGCCUUCUUCUCAUUCUCAAUGGCUGAAUUCACACGACUACAGAAUGAGUAAUAGAUUUACAAGGCAUGCUUCACUUACACAGCCUACAAGAACUUGAUAAAUGUUUUCCUAGAUACUCUGAUCAGUCAUUCUCUAUGAUCUCCCUAGUAGCAGUUAACAUUAUCCGAAGUGAUCUUGCUCAGUUUAUUGAUUGUCUCCUCCCAUUAGAAUGUAAGUUCGGUGAGGACACAGAGCGUUGUCUAUCUUUUUUACUGCUCUACUCCAACCCCUAGAACACUGCCUGGUACAAAAUCCGUACUCAAUAAGUAUUGCUUAAACAAAAGAAUGGAGGAGUGAAUGCUGUGGCUUUCAUACCCCCAGGCAUACCAUAGAUUAUUGCCAUUUGUGAUAAGAGGGUUAUCAAUCUAUAUAGCCUUAGAUUUCUCUAAGAAGGCUCUGAAAAGACAGUAGACAGGUGGUGAGGGGAGAAGGUGUGAAGGACAAAGGCAGUGUCUAGAGAGAGAAGAUGUGGAGAUAGAUGGAGUCGCAUGAAAGAGAUGGGGCAGGUGGAGAAGCUGGUCACAGGCCACCAACAAAUAAUAGCCUCCUGGACACUGAGCAGCGCCAGCAUCUUGACCACCUACCCAGGUUCUAGCAACUACUUCUCUCAAAUGAGGAAACAGCAGCAGCAAGAUCUCAUUCAAUACUCUCAGCCAAAAAAAGACAGAAAUCCUGGCACCACAUCCUGACUAAGCCUCUGGGGAGGUUCAUUUGGCCUCAGGACAGCUUUGGUGCUUGUUGAAGCAUGAAAGCCAGACUUUGUUUUAGUUGUUCAGUGUGUGUUAAAGCACUGAGCUUUGGACUCAGCUUUCAGACUUCUUGACUUCCAAGUGAAGUAUUUGUACUUCCUUGACUAUUCUUUCUUAUAGAUAGUAUCUUCAUGCUAUCUUCAAUCACAACCCCUCAAUGUGUAUCUUGCAUUUCUUUUCUUCCUGACUCACUAUUCUUUCCCUAUCUUUGUCUUUAUUUAUCAAUCCCAGAAUCACAGAUCGAUUGGUUUUAAAAUAAUUGGGAUCAUUAUACAAAAUAAGGACAGUAUUUUUUCCAGUCUUUCUGUAUGUAAUCUAUUAAAAAACUAUAUUACCUAAUAAUUUACCCAACAGAGAACUCUAGAAACUAGAGAACCUGUAUUUGAGAAAGUAGAAUUAAAUCUUGAAGGAAAAAUUAAGAAACAUUAAGGGAAAACUUCAGAAAUCCAAAAUACAUGACAGAUAUUUCAAAAAUAAAGCUUGGUUAUUAAAGCAAAAGAGAAUCAUGAAAAAGCAAAAGGAUUUUUUUUAAAAGCUAUGAAUAAUUUGAAAUUCUAAACUUGAUCAAAUGCAGAGAAGAAAGAUUGGAAAUUUAUUUCUGAUUUUGUUGCUGGGUCAUUUAGCAAAGAAAAUAAACUUGAAAGCUCACAACUCUUUCCCCAUAGAACAAAACUACAAUUUUUGUAAUGAUACCUCGGAUUCUUGCAACAACCCCAGGAAAUAAGCAGAGUGAGUAUUAUUAUCCCCUCCUUAUAAAUGAAAAAGCAAACAUUGACUCAUCCAGGAACCCAGAGCUGGUUAAGUUGCAGAGCCAAGGUUUGAAUUCAAGUCUAAUCUCUUCUAAUUCUCUGCAUUAUAAUGUGUCUACAGAAAGAGAGCUCAAAAACAAAACUUUCAAAGCUCCAGAAAUUCUUAGAAAAUGUCUGGUAAAGAGUCAUAGAUCUUGCCAUUUGGUAACCAACCAUUCCCAAGUUCUAUGCACUGAACGACCAAACUUGACUUGAGCUCAUCUGUAUUCCAAUUAUAGAACUCUUUUCUUCUGUCUUAGUUGAGAUCUAUCAGAAACUUCCAGGUUGUGUUUCCUUUAUGAAUCUCUCCACCAGCCUAAUUAUACAGCCUAAUUAUAAUUAUUUUCUGCCCUUACCAUGCUGGGGUAAGUCAAUAAACACUGCUAACUGAGUGCCUACAAACUCCUGCUACUUACUGUCAACCAAACUGGGCCUUGUCUGUGACUAGGCAGUCCUUCUCCCAAGGUCUCAAUUACAAUUCUUUGUAGAUGACUCCCAAAUCCUAAACCUAUUAUUUCCAACCCUGACUGUUCUCUGAAGUUCCAGUCUUGGAAGACCGGCCACUGGUCAAUAUUUACUAACAGCUCCUUGUCCCAUUUUCUUUUAAUGGCAUCGUCAUCUAGUCAGUCCCAUAGGCUCCGAAUCAUCCUUGAGUACUGCCUGUGAUGUCAAGCCUCACAUACCAUCAGUAACUGGGCUUUGUUGAUUCUUUUACUGAAGUGUCUCCAAAAUGGUCCAUGCUUUCCUAUUUCUAUGGCCCUGACCCUAGUUCAGGUCAUUCUCUCACAUCUAUUUGGAAGACUGGCCUCCUAAGUGGACUCCCUGAUUCCAGUUCACUACUCCCAUCCAUCUGCCCACACCAACAUCUGAUUUCUUUCCUAAACCCUCCAACAAUUCCUUAUAUUACUCAGUAGAGUGUAAGCCCUGUACUUGGAAGUCAGACCCUUUUUCAAAUUGAUUCCCACUCUUUCUUCUCAGCAUUUUAACCCUUUAUGUUUGACUUCCACUGGAGUCCAGCUGUAGAAACUGACUCUUAAACACAGUCUGUACCGGGGCCUCCCUGACUUAGUUUACACCAUUUAUAGUAUCUGGAUUACUCCUUCUCUAUUGCUAGUAAAAUUUCACCAAUCAUCCAAGAUCUAGCUCAGUACAAAUGCCACCUCCAUUAUCUACACAAUGAAGCCUUUCUCCUGUUGGUAGUGAUUUCUUUCUCCCUUCAAAUAACGCAAUUGUAUAUGUGUGCAUGUUACAAUUCUAAGGGAUGCCACCCAUUCCAAUGUCUAGAGCUAUGUUGAGGACACAUCCUGCACAACAACAUGCAGUGGCCUUGCCUUUGGUCUCACUGCAUUUUCUUGGUAAGUGCCUUUCGUUGCUUUGUAAACCUUACAAACUUCCAGUUUCCUAUAUAUAAUAGGUUAUCAUGCUUAUAUCUUAUUUCCUCUUGUAGGCUUUAAGCAAUUUGAGGACACAACUAGGUUACUUUAAGCUCUGUAUCUAACAAUGCACCUACCAGACUUUGUUGGAGUCAUAUUUGUGGAAAGAAUGAAGCAUACAAUUUUCCUAUGAUAUACUCUUAUUUUAUUUCUUUUCUUAAACUCUGCUACACAAAAGCCAACAAAUGAAAACUCCUUAUGGAAUGCCACAUAUGGAUACUUGGCAUCAGUUAGUUAACUAAGGGGAUUUUUAACUUUUCUUCUAUUUUCAUGCUUGAUGUCAAAGAAUCACAGCCUUAGCAUAUUUUCUCUUAGAGGCAACAUCUUUUGUUUCUAGUUCAUUAUCUAUAUUCCUUCCACAUAUUUAAAAUAUCAAACCCUCCUUUACUUCACUUUCCAAUUACAGCUUGGAGAACUAACUAUUCCAUAUGCUUCCUGGUCUAGUGUUCCAAUAUUUGUCCUGAUUUAAUUUGUUUUAGUUGGUGAAAUUUCCAUUUCAGGGAGAAAUUCUUGCCAUAAACCUGAGUCAUUCCCUGCAUUUUUCCCUCUCUUGUUAACCAAGGAAAUGACUAUAAUCCAAAUUACAUCUAAUUUUUUAAAUAUCUAGUUACAACUCCACAUUUCUUUUCUAUCUAGGUAUUUUUCACUACUGCUAUUCUUGUUUCUUGGCAGAUUUCCCCUCCUACCAAAUCAUAGUCUGCUCUCCCAAAUCUUUCCCUCCAUCACAUCCCUCUUCUCAAAUUAUACUCAAAUUUCCUUGGCAUGUUUUAAACCUCUGUUGGUACAGGGCCAAGUAUAAGGCUUUACUCUAUACAACAGGUACUCAGUAAAUGACUAGAAAUGAUACAUACACAUUUUGACUCUGGGGUUUGAAGAUUCAUGAUAAUGAGCUGGUUCUUUUUUCUUCCCUUUUCCUAUCUUUCUGUCAAUGUUUGAAUUCUUAUUUACUUCUACCUACAUAAGUCUAUCUUUGUUUCCAUAAAUUUUAUUCUCACAUUAUUGCAUUUCUGAGAUAUUCAUUCAUCUCUCCAUUCAUUUAUUCAACAGCUAUUUCUUCAUCACUUACAUGUGCAAAGUAUAAGCUCUAUAGUUUGGUGGGAUUCCAAAAUGAAAUUCAGAAACCAAUUCUGCCCUCUAAGAGCUUAUGGUUUAGAAGAAGACGCGAAAUGUCUAUCUAGCUAACGAUGAUGUCCUACUAAUAUAUUAGUAUUAUGUGUCAUAUGAAAUAUAAUUAGAGAGCCAUAAAAAGAGAUUACUUUCAUUUGCAAAGCCAGUUUUUUUGGAUGUGCUGGUACCCAAGCUGAACUGUUAGAGAGCUUUGAAGAGAUGAUGAGUAAGGUAUUCUAUGAAGGAGAAUGCCACUUCUUCAUUCAUUCUGUCAUCCAUUUCACACCACCUACUCAAUGAUAUAUGAGUUUAUUUCUAAACAAUUUGGGGUUUCUUUAGCCUGUCUAAUUUCAUUCAUUUAUACAUGAGUAAUAUUUCAUAUUUUAAGAAAAAUAAAUGAAGUUAGUAAUUUCCCAUGACUGUAUUCCCCCUUGCUGUCCUAUUGACUAAUAUCAUCAAAACACAUUUAAUCUUAUCGCAGUAAGAAUAUUUAACACGAGAUCUACCCUCAACACAUUUUUAAGUAUACAAUACAGCAUUGUUAACUAUAGGGAUAAUGUUGUACAGAAGAUCUCUAGAACAUAUUCAUCUCGCAAAAAAACAACAAAGCCCUACUUCAGAAGAACUAUCUUCCCUACCACUUGGUCAAACUUUCAAUUGGGGUUUACUCAUUCACUCAGUUACUCAUUCAACAAACUUUGACUGAGAGCUUACAAAAGCACAGGCAACAGGUGAGGUGAUACAGUAAGAACCAGACAGACUCAGUUUCUGUCUUUGAAUGUUCCCUGACUCGUAGACGUAUGUAUAAGUUGCUUGACUAUGGUAGCUUUAAAAUGCCAUCUUUUUUCUCCUAAACAAGUACCCUGGGUUUUCCCACCAUAAUCCAUUCUCCAAAUGUCACAAUUAAAAACCACACGACUAAAGACUUAUGUGCUGAAACAGGAUCCUAGCAAUGCAAUCCAAAGCCAAACAACAGAGACAUUACUUGAGCCUUUAAAACUCAACCAUUUAACGUUGGUUUGUGGAUGUCUGACUUAAAGGAAUAGAAACGGCAGAUGGGGAAGAUACAGAGAGGCUUGUGUUGGGGUUGAAGGGCAAAGAAAUAGGUUCUAGGAAAAACAGUGACUUCAGCUUGGAGAAUAUGGCUCCAGAAAAAAGUUGAGCAAACAAUCUACUCACUUACAUUAUCUGACAGGAAACAUGAGCCCAGAGAGAAGCUAGGAUGGGGAGCAGAAAAGAAGGGAGGGUGCUAUUCGUGUUUUGGAUACGGGGAUCAAGGACACAAUGAAAGGCAAAACUGAAGAAGUCUGUGUCACAGCAGGGUUAACGUGUUAGAGAAAAAUGUGACACAAUUAUUAUUGUAUCAUGUUAUUUUGGGUUGUUGAAAAAUGAUGUUCCAUAACUAUAAAAGUGAGCUCCCAGGGGAGGCAAGAGGCUCUCUAUGACCCACUUUUCCUAGGGAAGUUUCAAUCUAGAGAUAAAUCUCUGAAUCUGGGACAGAAGUGAAAGCUGGAAGGACAGUGAUCAGUAGGGAAAGGGCAAAGCUCACCACAGACCAUCUUUGCAAUAAUCAAGGAGAGUAAAUGAUCCUCUGACAAUGAGGAAGUAUAGGGAAUAACUGAGGAUUUAGGAAGGUGAGAGAACACUCACACAUCACUGUUAUAAAUGUGCUUGGGAUUCCAUGGGCAUAACAAAAUUAACAGCCAGGUAGCAGAAGUGAAGGUGAGAAGAGCAUGAAUUGAUCUUGGAUCAAGUUAGUUCCAUUCAGGGUGAUUCCCAAAAGUAUCUGGAGCUGAGAGAGUCAACAAAGAGGAGCGAGGAAUAUCAGAGCCUUCUGGCCACGCUUUCUUACCCUCCUUUCUCCACAAGCCCUCCAUGAAUCCACAUAAUCACAAUAGCUCUCUGUCAGCGGUUUAUACACAGUGCAUUCUGGGCUCUGGACUGUGAUGAGGCACAAUUAUUACCAGUCACGUGGCAGGUGGCACUUUACCUGACAAUUUCCCUUUCCUGACUAUAAGAUAUUUUGACCUUUUCUCCUUUUUCUAAAAAAGCAGGGAAACAUUUUUGGCUUUUCCUCAUUUUAGCAUCUAACAAAUGAGAUACUUUUUCUAUUAUGUUAUAGUAGUCACACUUAAUUGAAAUUGGUUUUAUUUACUCUUCCUCUAGCAAUAAUAUUUUAUUUUAGUCCUAAUUUGCCCUAUACCCCUUUUGUCUAAUUUGUUCUCUGGCCUCAAAAAUAAUAAAUACUC
rnacentral:lncRNA from 1 species